rnacentral:rRNA from 1 species
UACGGAGGGUGCAAGCGUUGCUCGGAAUUAUUGGGCGUAAAGGGUAGGUAGGUGGUCUCAUUUGUCUGGGGUGAAAGCCUUGAGCUUAACUCAAGAAGUGCCCCAGAAACGGUGAGACUAGAGUCUUGGAGAGGGUCGUGGAAUUCCCGGUGUAGCGGUGAAAUGCGUAGAGAUCGGGAGGAACACCGGUGGCGAAGGCGGUUCUCUGGGCCGUAACUGACGCUGAGACACGAAAGCGUGGGUAGCAAACAGG